rnacentral:rRNA from 1 species
AGCUAAACGGCCGCGGUAUCUUGACCGUGCAAAGGUAGCAUAAUCAUUUGUCUUUUAAAUGGAGACUUGUAUGAACGGCAAAACCUUCUUUAACUGUCUCCCCCUUUGACCUUAUAAAUUUACCUCUGCGUGAAGAGGCGCAGAUAAAACAGAAAGACGAGAAGACCCUGUCGAGCUUCAGUCAUCAGAUGAACUUUCCACAGCAUCACCUCAAAGACUUUGGUUGGGGCAACCCUGGAGAAAAAAAAUCCUCCAGAAAAAUAGAAGAAACCCACUCCCUAUUUCACCACUUAAGAACCAGAACCUGGCAUAAGGAAAAAGUUACCGCAGGGAUAACAGCGUCAUCCUCUCUAAGAGUCCUUAUUGACGAGAGGGCUUGCGACCACGAUGUUGGAUUGGGGGCCCCCUAGGGUGCAGAAGCCCUAAAAGGUUAGACUGUUCGUCUAUUAAAGCCCU